AGUGAACGCUGGCGGUAGGCCUAACACAUGCAAGUCGAACGGCAGCACAGUAAUAGCUUGCUCUUACGGGUGGCGAGUGGCGGACGGGUGAGGAAUACAUCGUAAUCUACUUUUUCGUGGGGGAUAACGUAGGGAAACUUACGCUAAUACCGCAUACGACCUACGGUUGAAAGCAGGGGAUCUUCUGACCUUGCGCGAUUGAAUGAGCCGAUGUCGGAUUAGAUAGUUGGCGGGGUAAAGGCCCACCAAGGCGACGAUCCGUAGCUGGUCUGAGAGGAUGAUCAGCCACACUGGAACUGAGACACGGUCCAGACGCCUACGGGAGGCAGCAGUGGGGAAUAUUGGACAAUGGGCGCAAGCCUGAUCCAGCCAUACCGCGUGGGUGAAGAAGGCCUUCGGGUUGUAAAGCCCUUUUGUUGGGAAAGAAAAGCAGCAGGUUAAUACCACGCUGUUCUGACGGUACCCAAAGAAUAAGCACCGGCUAACUUCGUG
rnacentral:rRNA from 1 species